rnacentral:rRNA from 2 species
UGCAGUCGAGCGGACAGAUGGGAGCUUGCUCCCUGAUGUUAGCGGCGGACGGGUGAGUAACACGUGGGUAACCUGCCUGUAAGACUGGGAUAACUCCGGGAAACCGGGGCUAAUACCGGAUGGUUGUUUGAACCGCAUGGUUCAAACAUAAAAGGUGGCUUCGGCUACCACUUACAGAUGGACCCGCGGCGCAUUAGCUAGUUGGUGAGGUAACGGCUCACCAAGGCAACGAUGCGUAGCCGACCUGAGAGGGUGAUCGGCCACACUGGGACUGAGACACGGCCCAGACUCCUACGGGAGGCAGCAGUAGGGAAUCUUCCGCAAUGGACGAAAGUCUGACGGAGCAACGCCGCGUGAGUGAUGAAGGUUUUCGGAUCGUAAAGCUCUGUUGUUAGGGAAGAACAAGUACCGUUCGAAUAGGGCGGUACCUUGACGGUACCUAACCAGAAAGCCACGGCUAACUACGUGCCAGCAGCCGCGGUAAUACGUAGGUGGCAAGCGUUGUCCGGAAUUAUUGGGCGUAAAGGGCUCGCAGGCGGUUUCUUAAGUCUGAUGUGAAAGCCCCCGGCUCAACCGGGGAGGGUCAUUGGAAACUGGGGAACUUGAGUGCAGAAGAGGAGAGUGGAAUUCCACGUGUAGCGGUGAAAUGCGUAGAGAUGUGGAGGAACACCAGUGGCGAAAGGCGACUCUCUGGUCUGUAACUGACGCU